UCUGUGAAGUGCUUUCUUAUUUAUUUUUCAACUACGACAGCAAUAACUAAAUAAUCAAGCAAGAAGUUGAAAGAACUUGAGCUAUUCCGCUUCUGUCUGUGUAGAGAGAGAUAGAGUGAAAUUAACGAGAAAAUGUAUGGAGAAACAGGACUUUUAUUGCCAUAUUUCCAGAAUUUUUCACAGGAAGUUCAACAUCUAGAGGAGUUUUGUCGAAGCCAGAGAACUUGUGGCGGUAGUUCAAGGAGCAAUCUAGCUCAGACCUCCUCAGUCUCAGAGUAUGACUUGGGAGAAGAAGGAGAUCUAUUUAAAGCUCCCAAACUCAUCGUUGAAGAACCAGAAAUGCCCCUGCAUCCGAUGACAGCCAUUUCCAUGAUUUCUUGCGGGGAAGAGGUCAUGUCCACUCAAGCAAUAAAGAUGUCAGACCUUGAAUCUUUUCAAACUGAGCAACUGCUCAACGAGGUCUUUUAUGAAUGUGAAAAAGAUCUAUUGGAAAAGUCUGCGAUGGAAGAGCAGUUUUCUGAUAUCAUGGAUGUCAAGAUUCCUGUUGUUUCAAUGGAUGAGGGUCAAACUGCAGAGAAUGAUCGGUCGAUCUUGGAUGGGUCAAUUCAAAAAAGUGUUAGUUCUGGAUGCUUGAGCUCAAUGGAAUGGAUACAUGAAGGUGCAACAAGACCAAACUUUUUGGACUUCCAGUUGGUGGAUUUUGGAGAUGCUUAUGGGAUGCGAAGGGCCUUCAGUGAGGGAGACAUACAGCAAAUCAAGGCAAAACAAAGAAUGAUUUCCAGUGCCCAGAUAUCUCUUGCCAUUUCCACAGGAUGUGGGGGUGGAUCAUUGAUUUUGAGUUUUUCUGGCAGACUCUCCAUAAUUGCAAUAGCACCAAUCUUACGUUUUCUUCAUUUGAGCGACCAUUGACCAUUGGCAAUUACACAAUUGAAGAACGCAAGCAAAAGCUUUCUAGAUACAGGAAGAAGAGGAACAAGAGGAACUUCGGACGGAAAAUCAAGUAUGCAUGUAGGAAAGCAUUGGCCGACAGUCAACCAAGGGUUCGAGGAAGAUUUGCAAAAACUGAAGAUCUUCUUCAGCCUUCCAAGAAGUGAGUAUGGGAGUAAGAAAACCUAAAAUGAUGGUCUGCAAACUAGUAUUCAUGUCUUCUUUAUUAUUAGUAGUAGUAGGUCAGCAGUGUAGACUGUGUUAGAGUGUAGGUGUGUAUAUGUAUAUAUAUAUAGAUAGAUAUAUAUCUAUUGAAUAAAGAGGAACUGGAAAUCCCUUUUUGUGCCUAUUCAUAUAGGUAAUGGCAAGGCCCAGCAUGUAAUGUAAUUGGGGUUAAUCUGAGUGUAAAUGUUGCAAGGCAGUGACUGGUGAAAGGUGACUUUUUCUUCUUUUUCUGAUUGUUCAACAAGACCAAACUUUGCAGAA